rnacentral:rRNA from 1 species
CCCAGACUCCUACGGGAGGCAGCAGUGGGGAAUAUUGGGCAAUGGGCGCAAGCCUGACCCAGCAACGCCGCGUGAAGGAAGAAGGCUUUCGGGUUGUAAACUUCUUUUAUGAGGGACGAAAGAAAUGACGGUACCUCAUGAAUAAGCCACGGCUAACUACGUGCCAGCAGCCGCGGUAAUACGUAGGUGGCAAGCGUUAUCCGGAUUUACUGGGUGUAAAGGGCGUGUAGGCGGGACUGCAAGUCAGAUGUGAAAAUUAUGGGCUCAACCCAUAACCUGCAUUUGAAACUGUAGUUCUUGAGUGAUGGAGAGGCAGGCGGAAUUCCGUGUGUAGCGGUGAAAUGUGUAGAUAUCAGGAGGAACACCGGUGGCGAAGGCGGCUUACUGGACUGUAACUGACGUUGAGGCUCGAAAGCGUGGGGAGCAAACAGGAUUAGAUACCCUUGUA